UACGUAGGGGGCAAGCGUUGUCCGGAAUUAUUGGGCGUAAAGAGCGUGUAGGCGGUUUGUCGCGUCUGCUGUGAAAUUUCGGGGCUCAACCCCGAACUUGCAGUGGGUACGGGCAGACUAGAGUGUGGUAGGGGAGACUGGAAUUCCUGGUGUAGCGGUGGAAUGCGCAGAUAUCAGGAGGAACACCGGUGGCGAAGGCGGCUCUCUGGGCCUUACCUGACGCUGAGGAGCGAAAGCGUGGGUAGCGAACAGG
rnacentral:rRNA from 1 species